ACAGGUGGUGCAUGGUUGUCGUCAGCUCGUGUCGUGAGAUGUUGGGUUAAGUCCCGCAACGAGCGCAACCCUUGUGUUUAGUUGCCAACAGGUUAAGCUGUGCACUCUAAACAGACUGCCGUGGAUAACACGGAGGAAGGUGGGGAUGACGUCAAAUCAUCAUGCCCCUUAUGAUCUGGGCUACACACGUGCUACAAUGGUCGGUACAACGGGCAGCGAACCCGCGAGGGGGAGCCAAUCCCAAAAAGCCGCUCUCAGUUCGGAUUGCAGGCUGCAACUCGCCUGCAUGAAGCCGGAAUCGCUAGUAAUCGCGGAUCAGCAUGCCGCGGUGAAUACGUUCCCGGGCCUU
rnacentral:rRNA from 1 species